GGCCCGCUCGUCUAUCGGUUGAGGACACCAGCCUCUCAAGCUGGAAAGACGGGUUCGAUUCCCGUGCGGGUCA
rnacentral:tRNA from 1 species